GUGCUGACGAAGGGUCCGGGGCAGCUCAUGUUUGUUGGAAAUGUGUCUGUGGAGGAAGGCCUGCACGAUCUCACCUCCCCAGACCUCAGCAUCGCCUCCGAGUGGACGUACUGUGAGACGGACAUCGACCCGGGACACCGCAAAUACACGCAGCUUCAGGCCGCCAUCCGCUACCUGCUG